AUGAGUUGUGAGGAGCCCGAGAUGUUGCCGGCGGCGGUGGCGGCGGGGCCGCUGGACGACGACAACCUGCUCGCCGAGAUCCUCCUCCGCCUCCCCCCGCUCCCGUCCUCCCUCCCCCGCGCCUCCUUCGUCUGCAAGCGCUGGCGCAGCCUCGCCUCCGAUCCAGCCUUCUCCCGCCGCUUCCACCUCCACCACCGCCGCAACCCUCCACUCCUCGGCUGCUUCCACAAAGGUGCCGAAGGCAUAUCCUUCGAGCCUGCUCUUGAGGCCCCCGAUCGCGUUCCGCCCGGGCGCCUCUCCUUACCGUCCGACCGCGGCGACCUCUGGUUCCUCGGGUGCCGCCAUGGCCUCGUAUUAGUCUUCGACAAGACACGGCAGCAGUUCAUGGUGUGGGAUCCCGUCACAGGCCACAAGCACUACAUAGCGGAUCCGCCGGGGUUGGAUGUGACCAAGUACGUGAUCAACGGGGCGGUGUUCCGCUCAUCUGCCGCGGACGUCCACUUCCAGGUUGUCUUGGUAGCGAUACAAGACGGACAAGCGGUCGCCCGCGUUUACUCAUCAGAGACCAGGUUGUGGGGCAAUCUCAUCACAGCACCGGUUACAUCCGAAUCCAGCGACUUAUUUGUCACCUAUGUUACUAUGGAGCCCGCUGUGCUGGUUGGGCAUGCUCUUUAUUGGAUACUUUCUGGAACUUCGUCGCAUAUCCUCGAGUUUGAUUUGGAGAGGGAGAGCCUGGCCGUGAUACGGAUGCCAGCGUAUUUUUCUGGUGUCAUGUGGCCCAAACUCAUGCAGGCAAAUGAUGGUAAGCUGGGUAUACUCUAUGUGUCAGGCUUCACUGCCCAGUUAUGGAAGAGGAACACUGACUUGCAUGGUGUUGCGUCAUGGGGGAUUGGAACAACUAUUGAACUGGACAAGCUACUUUCUCUGGAUCCAAGGGAUGUUGUAAUUAUACAAGGGUUUGCUGAGGAAUCUCAUUUGGUGCUCCUGAAGACCACUACCAGCCUCUUCUCGCUCAAGCUUGAGCAAUUGCAGUUCAAAAAACUUUUCGACACCAAAGUGCGGCGUUGCUGCUAUCCAUUUGAAAGUGUCUAUGGUGCAGGUAUCUAG
rnacentral:rRNA from 1 species